CAAAAAAAAAAAAAAAGGAGAAAAACGGCUAGGAGGGGCUGGCCGAACCAGCCCCAUAAAAUGGUCAUGAAAAAUUUGUUUCUUCUAGCUCUCAUAUCAAUUGGAAGGUCCUCAUCAACAUGGAGCGGUUGUUGGAGCAAGAAAAUCGUUCGUUGUGGUUAUGAACAAGUCUAGCCGAUUAGAAAAGUUGAAGGAAAAAAAGAUUUUGGCAGAUUUGCAACUUGAAUUUGGAGUAGCAUAAGGAGCGGAAAGAGGUACUCCUAGAUGAUUAGAAGACCUUACUGAAGAUGUUCCAGCGGAGAUGGCUAACUCCAUUUGUCCCGGAGGAUUGUCAGGUCCAAGUAUAUGCUAUGAUGUUUUGUUCUAUGUUAGAGACUUUGCAGACAAAGCAAUGGGUAUUGAGUUGUCAGUCUGUAAGCGGCUUCAGCAGCCAAUAUGUUAUUAUGUCUUAUGUCACGAGCCUUAUAUGAUGUCAGAGUUUACUUAUGAAAAAAAAAGAUAUAUACAUAUUGGAGAGCUUACUAUGUAUUUCUUUCCUUACCGAUUCAAGAGUUUCUAUAUGUAACAAGAGUCAGCGGGUUCGCUCGGCUCCAGAUAUGGGGUCGGGUGCCCAUCACACCCUAGUAAAGUCGGGGUGUGACAAUUGUAGUAUAUGAUCUUGCAUCAAAAUACGUUUGCAUUAUUUUCCAA